GAUGAACGCUAGCGAUAGGCUUAACACAUGCAAGUCGAGGGGCAGCAUGGUCUUAGCUUGCUAAGACUGAUGGCGACCGGCGCACGGGUGCGUAACGCGUAUGCAACUUGCCUCACAGAGGGGGAUAACCCGUCGAAAGACGGACUAAUACCGCGUACACUCCAUCUUGGGCAUCCAAGGUAGAGGAAAUGAAAUUCGCUGUGAGAUAGGCAUGCGUCCCAUUAGCUAGUUGGUGAGGUAACGGCUCACCAAGGCGACGAUGGGUAGGGGAACUGAGAGGUUGAACCCCCACACUGGUACUGAGACACGGACCAGACUCCUACGGGAGGCAGCAGUGAGGAAUAUUGGUCAAUGGGCGAGAGCCUGAACCAGCCAAGUCGCGUGCAGGAUGACUGUCUUAUGGAUUGUAAACUUCUUUUAGACGGGAAUAACAAGAGUCACGUGUGACUCCCUGCAUGUACCGUAUGAAUAAGCAUCGGCUAACUCCGUG
rnacentral:rRNA from 1 species